rnacentral:rRNA from 1 species
UACGGAGGGUGCAAGCGUUGCUCGGAAUUACUGGGCGUAAAGCGAGCGCAGGCGGUCUGAUAAGUCGGUUGUGAAAGCCCCGGGCUCAACCCGGGAACUGCGAUCGAAACUGCCAGACUUGAGUACGGGAGAGGGAGGUGGAAUUCCUGGUGUAGAGGUGAAAUUCGUAGAUAUCAGGAGGAACACCGGUGGCGAAAGCGGCCUCCUGGCCCGAUACUGACGCUCAUGUACGAGAGCGUGGGGAGCAAACAGG